CAAGUGAGGCUCCAAACGCUGGAAACAGCGGUCAGGAGCUUACACCCACCCGUGUCUGCAUACUAUUGUUGCUUUGGCGGGCCGUGGCCUCCACUGCGGGCUCUGCUCGUGUGUGCCCGCCAGAGAACCAAACUCUGAAUGUUAGUGAUGUCUGAGUACUAUCUAAUAGUUA
rnacentral:misc_RNA from 1 species